rnacentral:rRNA from 1 species
CAGUCGAGCGGACAGAAGGGAGCUUGCUCCCGGAUGUUAGCGGCGGACGGGUGAGUAACACGUGGGUAACCUGCCUGUAAGACUGGGAUAACUCCGGGAAACCGGAGCUAAUACCGGAUAGUUCCUUGAACCGCAUGGUUCAAGGAUGAAAGACGGUUUCGGCUGUCACUUACAGAUGGACCCGCGGCGCAUUAGCUAGUUGGUGGGGUAAUGGCUCACCAAGGCGACGAUGCGUAGCCGACCUGAGAGGGUGAUCGGCCACACUGGGACUGAGACACGGCCCAGACUCCUACGGGAGGCAGCAGUAGGGAAUCUUCCGCAAUGGACGAAAGUCUGACGGAGCAACGCCGCGUGAGUGAUGAAGGUUUUCGGAUCGUAAAGCUCUGUUGUUAGGGAAGAACAAGUGCGAGAGUAACUGCUCGCACCUUGACGGUACCUAACCAGAAAGCCACGGCUAACUACGUGCCAGCAGCCGCGGUAAUACGUAGGUGGCAAGCGUUGUCCGGAAUUAUUGGGCGUAAAGGGCUCGCAGGCGGUUUCUUAAGUCUGAUGUGAAAGCCCCCGGCUCAACCGGGGAGGGUCAUUGGAAACUGGGAAACUUGAGUGCAGAAGAGGAGAGUGGAAUUCCACGUGUAGCGGUGAAAUGCGUAGAGAUGUGGAGGAACACCAGUGGCGAAGGCGACUCUCUGGUCUGUAACUGACGCUGAGGAGCGAAAGCGUGGGGAGCGAACAGGAUUAGAUACCCUGGUAGUCCACGCCGUAAACGAUGAGUGCUAAGUGUUAGGGGUUUCCGCCCCUUAGUGCUGCAGCUAACGCAUUAAGCACUCCGCCUGGGGAGUACGGUCGCAAGACUGAAACUCAAA